rnacentral:rRNA from 1 species
GACGAACGCUGGCGGCGUGCCUAAUACAUGCAAGUCGAGCGGACCAAAGGGAGCUUGCUCCUGGAGGUUAGCGGCGAACGGGUGAGUAACACGUGGGCAACCUGCCUGUAAGACUGGGAUAACAUCGAGAAAUCGGUGCUAAUACCGGAUAAUAAAAAGAACUGCAUGGUUCUUUUUGAAAGAUGGUUUCGGCUAUCACUUACAGAUGGGCCCGCGGCGCAUUAGCUAGUUGGUGAGGUAACGGCUCACCAAGGCGACGAUGCGUAGCCGACCUGAGAGGGUGAUCGGCCACACUGGGACUGAGACACGGCCCAGACUCCUACGGGAGGCAGCAGUAGGGAAUCUUCCGCAAUGGACGAAAGUCUGACGGAGCAACGCCGCGUGAGUGAUGAAGGUUUUCGGAUCGUAAAACUCUGUUGUUAGGGAAGAACAAGUGCCGUUCGAAAGGGCGGCACCUUGACGGUACCUAACGAGAAAGCCACGGCUAACUACGUGCCAGCAGCCGCGGUAAAGUA